GUGUCCGACGCUGGCUCCGCUCUAUCCGGCUUUGCUAGGGGAGCUGCGGCAGCCGCAGCAGCGGCUGCAGCUGCAGCCAUGUUAAACCCUGGGCAACAACAGCCAUAUUUCCCAUCACCGGCACCGGGGCAGGCUCCUGGACCAGCUGCAGCAGCCCCAGCUCAGGUACAGGCUGCCGCAGCUGCUACAGUUAAGGCGCACCAUCAUCAGCACUCGCAUCAUCCACAGCAGCAGCUGGAUAUUGAGCCGGAUAGACCUAUUGGAUAUGGAGCCUUUGGUGUUGUCUGGUUGAGAAUCUGUAGUACUGAGAAGUUUCUCCACUAUCAGCCGAGAUUAACAGCCACAGCUGGAUUCUUUGGGGGCUCUGCUUUGUGAAAAGAGCUUUGAAGAAGCAGAGCCUGCACCAUAAAAAGGAAACGGUUGCUCUUCUAGACAUAACAAAGCAUCCGUAUGAAACUAGAAAUGUGGAAAUCUGUAUUGUUAAUUUUAACUACAAACGAACUUACUUUUGGAAAUUACAGGUUCAUGAUCAUAAAGUAGAUAAAGAGUAGAGAAUAAAAGUAACAAUCUGAUGAUUCUGCACCCACUUCUUGGUGGUUGAAACUCCAUAGCCUAUAACGUUGCAAGUCAUUUUGUACUUAGACUCCUGAAAAGAUUAUCCAAAUUAUGUUCAAAAAACCACAGCACAAAAAAUA
rnacentral:sRNA from 1 species